rnacentral:rRNA from 1 species
GACGAACCGAGCGAACGUUGUUCGGAAUCACUGGGUUUAAAGGGCGCGUAGGCGGGCUGCCAAGUUUGGGGUGAAAUCCUCCGGCUCAACCGGAGCAGUGCCUCGAAUACUGGCGGUCUCGAGGGAGGUAGGGGCGUGCGGAACUGUGGGUGGAGCGGUGAAAUGCGUUGAUAUCCACAGGAACUCCGGUGGCGAAGGCGGCACGCUGGACCUUUUCUGACGCUGAGGCGCGAAAGCCAGGGGAGCGAACGGG